UGCGCAGGCGGAAUAUUAAGUCAGUGGUGAAAUCCUACAGCUCAACUGUAGAACUGCCAUUGAAACUGAUAUUCUUGAGUAUAGUUGUAGUGGGCGGAAUAUAUCAUGUAGCGGUGAAAUGCUUAGAUAUGAUAUAGAACGCCGAUCGCGAAGGCAGCUCACUAAACUAUAACUGACGCUCAGGCACGAAAGCGUGGGGAGCAAACAGGAUUAGAUACCCGGUAGUCC
rnacentral:rRNA from 1 species